CCGCUCCCGCGCGCCUCCCCGAUCUGCGCGCUCACCACCACUUCCCGCGGCCCGCCUCCCACAGCGGGGAGCAGCAGCGGCGGCACAGGGGGGCACGGAGGCGGGUGGACCAGCGGCAGGCGCGGCGUGCGGCCAGCGGGCGGGCAGAUGGCGGCGGUCGCGGCGGCUGGCUCCCGUACCGCCCCGACGAGGACGUCCCCCUCCACGAGCUGCGCAGCGGCGCGGCGAGGGACAGCCGCGUGCGGCGCGAGGCAGGUCCAGGCGGCUUAGCGGGCGGGGGCAGCGAGCGGCGCGCGGCACACGGGCGCAAGGAGCAGGGCAGCACGCGGAUGGUCUAGGCGCGGCGCCGUCCAGGCGUCCAGCUGCUCCCGCGCCGUGACGGCGAGCUGCAGACGUCCGCGCCUGGUGCCGAUCCCCGUCCUCCUGCCGUCCUGAUUAACUGUCACACGGUGACUGCGGCCGCCUCCAUCUGCGGUGGCAGGUGUGCCGAGGCACAUUGGAGCAUGAGGGAGGGUGUUGUCGUGAGACGUCAUCUCGCCAAGUACUCCGGGUUGCCACCACCGCCAUGGCCGCGGCAGCCGAAGACGACGGCCGCGUGAACUAGGCUGGUUCAUGGUGAGGAUAUUGUGCGAGUAUAUCUUCUGUCCUUGUCUGUAUUAGGUGGACAAUAGAGUAGCAUAUUUGGUUACAGCAGUUCUGGGAUCUGGAGAUGUUUGAUUGCCGGAAAUCGCACGCACAGGAGUGCUGUAGCCUGGAGGAGUUUCUUGCUUACUUCCGGGAGAUGGUCGGUGGAACAUGCUGGCAUAUAUAGCUGGAUGAUUAAAUUUAGAGUAGAGGGAUAGAGUGGGUUUCGUACACCAAAUAUCAGUUGGCCAAUCAUACUUUGUGUUCAGUGGCUGUUCAAUUUGAACAGAGCAAGGAUUCAGGUUGCAGGAUCACCGUCAUCAUCCUUUUGCUAGAGUUAUAACCACUCGAUCAACUAGCAAAUUAUUAGGCUGAUUUUGAUGAAUUUAUUGGUUAUUAGUUCAACUUAAUUUUUGUGACAUAUUAUUACCGCAAUCACUGUGGUUGUGAUCUGCCUUCUAGCCUGCUACUGUUUGUGUGUGGUUCUUAUAGUCAAACUAGGUGUUAUGGUAAGCUAGUUCCCCGUAAUGUUUUAUUUCUAUCUGCAGCUAGUACCAUUGAAUACUUAAUCAUAUGGCUUAUCUCGUACUUUUAUUAAGAACUCCUUAUUUCUGAACAUUAGAUGUGUUAUCAGCCUACUGAAUCUUUGCCUACAAAAUAUUCUUUGAUCUGAACUGUGGUCAUCUGCUGAUGUGGUGCAUGCAGAUCAGUGACUGGAGAGGACAAUUCAUUUCCAUGAUUGCUUUGGUAAUUUACCAUCUGAUCAUCUGAAUGUCAGGACCAUGAGGUUCAGUUCAAUAUAAGAGCGUGCAUUUCUUUUGUCAGAAAAUUUACUGAUCUAUCAUAAUCCACCCAUUUUUUUGUAAUAGGAUUUAAAUUAAAAUGGUUUUAUUUGAUCAACUAAUAAUACACUGAGUACUACUGCAUAUGCGCACGUUUAAAUUUUUGUAUAAAUUCUAUUGUCAUUUGUUGAUUUGGGUAUUCUGGUUGAUAUAUAUACACCCCAACAAUUUAUUCCCAGGUCGAUAUAUAUACACCCCAACAACCGAGAUCAGUUCUUUUAGUCAAGGGUAUGCAGUACUAACUGUAGCCUAUUAUUUUGUUUGCUGUGGCAAAAUUACCUACCAGAAAGUGUGCCAGAUUCCUGGUGUUCUUGCUUGGAACUCUACACGGUCAACUCAGAAUUUUGGGUUCCCCGUAUCAUUUGAUUAGAAUUUGGUUGCUAUCUUGACAACAUCUUAACCUUUAUAUGCAGAGCUACUGAUGUGAUAUUAAAGCCAAUACGCUAGCACAUUUUUUUCUUUUUAUUGUGCUAUAAUUAUGUGUAUACUACUCUAUGUACGACCUUGUGCAUUCUCACAGUUGAAUGCUGAUGCCAGAAAAAAAUUUGAAUUUUUUGCUUCAGGUUUUAUAUGUGCACCUUCGAAAUUUUGAGUGCUACUGUUUCUUCCCUGACCAGGUUCAUGCAAGUGUCAGUCACUUCUUGCCAUCUUCUUGAUCUUGCAUGUCUAUGAACUUGGGUUCAUAGAAGCUAUUGUCAAAGAGUUUUGUUGUUUAAUAUUGCUCCUUCUUGUUCUCAUUUACUUGCACAUGUCCUGCUGUAUUUCAGUUGGGAGUAUUUCUAAGGGCCCGUUCGGUUAGCCUGUUCCGGGAGUGAAACAAGGGCUGGAACUAAUCCAGCUGAUUGAAGGUGUGGAAUUAAUCCUACUAUUCCAGCUGGAAUUGUUCCAGGCAUCGGUUCCUAUGUAAACGAAUGGGCCCUAAGGAGGAAAGCAGACCGGCUAACUGAGAACCACGGAUCGGCCGUACUGGAUCAGAGAGCCAAGCUUGUGUUGCUGAACACUGUAUCUGCUGGAGGCACUGCUGUUCAUCAUACAAAUACUCCUUGGAUGUGAUUAUGCUUUGCCUCAUUUAGCGGAGGAAUUCUAUGACCAAAACAACUAGAAAAGUAGGUGUGAAAUUAUGAGUUUUUGUGACCCAUCUUCACAUUUUUCAUUUUUCCCUCAUGGUUCUUGUUGUAAAGAUUAAGUAAUUUAUUCCAAAAGAUUGUGCUUCUGCAUACUGUCACAAAACA